UUUUUUUUUGGUUUUAA
rnacentral:sRNA from 1 species